UUAUGUGAGUCCAGUUCAAAGUAUUUAAUUUGUUUAAUUAAUAAUACUAAAGUUUAAUAAUAUAAUUUAAUGUUAAUAAUUGUGUCAGGUUUUAAGUCAUUGGAUAGAUGGAUAAAUCAACCCAAAUAACACCAGAAUCCUCACCAUCGGUAUUCAAGGACCGAGCUGAUGAAAUAAUAAAGUUAUUAAACGAAACACCAUCAGACGUGGGCUCAAGUAUAACACAGGAUACCAUCGAAAUAAGAAGUAAUAAAAGAAAAGCUCGAGAGGAACCCACCAUCAAAGGAAAUGAAAUCGCUUCCAAUCUCUAUGCAAAUAAAAAUUCUUUCGAAUUCUGGUCGUAUUGUGAUGAAGUCAUUGUAAAUGAUGUUAAAUAGCCUAAUUUGCUGAAAAUUAUUUUCAUUAAUUAAUUGAAACUAAAAUCAAACCUAACAAACUUUACAUUAAAAGUUAAUAUUUGAUGAUCUUGUAAGUCUUAAGAAAAUGAAAAUAAAGUCUCAAACUUC